rnacentral:rRNA from 1 species
CCUGGUGAUUCGAGCGCGGUGGCACCACCCGAUACCAUUCCGAACUCGGAAGUGAAACGCCGCAGCGCGGACGAUAGUUCCCGGGCAACUGGGCGCGAAAAUACGUCGUCGCCAGGA